rnacentral:rRNA from 1 species
CCUACGGGUGGCAGCAGUAGGGAAUAUUGCUCAAUGGGGGAAACCCUGAAGCAGCAACGCCGCGUGGAGGAUGAAGGUUCUCGGAUUGUAAACCCCUUUUGUUAGAGAAGAUAAUGACGGUAUCUAACGAAUAAGCACCGGCGAACUCCGUGCCAGCAGCCGCGGUAAUACGGAGGGUGCAAGCGUUACUCGGAAUAACUGGGCGUAAAGGGCGCGUAGGCGGGAUAGCAAGUCAGAUGUGAAAUCCUAUGGCUUAACCAUAGAACUGCAUUUGAAACUGUUAUUCUAGAGUAUGGGAGAGGUAGGUGGAAUUCUUGGUGUAGGGGUAAAAUCCGUAGAGAUCAAGAGGAAUACUCAUUGCGAAGGCGACCUGCUAGAACAUAACUGACGCUGAUGCGCGAAAGCGUGGGGAGCAAACAGGAUUAGAUACCCUUGUAGUC